rnacentral:lncRNA from 1 species
UGGGUAACAGGUAGGUGGACUGACCUGGCCUCAGUGGGUAUCCCUCUCUCUCCACAGUGUAACCCUGAGGGAUGCUGUAAAACUCCGGCAGACCUCCAAACUGUCUCCACACAGAGUAAUAGUUCUGGAAGGUUCUCACUGCGCUGUCCAUGUUCCCCAGGAGAGACUGAAACACAAAGGAAAUGAACAUUUACCAGUAUUAUGCAUUUAUCAGAAGCUUAAGUUCAGUGUACUGUUUGUACCUGCAGGCCGGGCCAGAAGGCCUCCAGAGACUGGAAAACUGGCAUGGAGACGGUUCCUUUGUGCAUCUGGAUCCACAGAUUCUCCGUUCACCAUGUGACAAAAACAAAGUUAAAGUAGGCUGGGUCCCGGACCGUGAACGUGGAGCGGACGGCCAUACUAUACUGAACACGGCUGAUCUCAUCAGAUCUCGGAAGCUAAGCAGAGUUUGGCCGUACCUAACCGGAGAGGACGUUGUCUGUGUGGAGUGCCUGAAAAGGCUGAACUUAAAUAAUAAAUAAAGUGUCAGAAACUUCACCCCUCAUCUCUGCUCUGUCAGCUGUCCUGAUCGUGAGCAGGGAACGCUCACAGUGUGUAAUAUGUGUGUUCUAUUGAUCCUGGUCAGACUCGCAGCACGUGCUGCUGUGGGAACUCUGUCCAUCUCAGCUGAAAUACUUUGACUCUGUUUGAAAUCUCUCUUUUGCUAAAACAGAUUAACAAAA